GCUGUUAAGGGUUCGUAGUUGAACUGAGGGUGUUCAGGUAGACGAUCCUGUCCCGCUCCGUAUUGGGGUUGGCGACACUCGCUCCUAGCACUCGUGAACGACAGAAACAAAUACCACGGAACGUUUUCUCUCCAACUUCACUCGCAUGCAAUGUAUGCAGUGUGGGGGGAUGUCCGUGUUUUUACUGUGACUAAAAAAGCGUGACCAAAGCAGUCAUUCGACAUGAAUUUCAAAGCUGGGAUAACAACGAAGCAACUUACGGGCUACCGUCUUGGCUUUUGUUGGUUUUAAAGGUCUGUGGAGACUAUGGGUUCGCACGACAAGCGGUUCGGGAGCUUCGGUUCCCUACGCCUCCGGGGUCACUUCUGUGUGAACCGGCUUGCGAUGCUCAGGAAUGAAGGAGGGUUGUUCGGGGGGAACGUACUUGAGCGUGAGAGGUGAAAUUCUUAGACCGCUCAAAGACGAACUACAGCGAGGCAUUCUCCAAGGAUACCUUCCUCAAUCAAGAACCAAAGUGUGGAGAUCGAAGAUGUUAGAUACCAUUGUAGUCC
rnacentral:rRNA from 1 species